AGCCUUAUAGCUCAAUGGUAAGAGCGCCAACGUGACUUAAGCACUCACAAAGGAAACUACGUCGGAGGUCCUCGUUCGAUUCGGGGUUAGGCUA